GGUGGGAAAGGCUUCUAGAAGCUUCUAGAAGCUCUGCCCUGGUGUUGACACACUAGUCAUCUCUCCUGAGAUUUAAUAACAUAAUUAUCUGAUUCACCUUGGCUUUUUUUCCUUUGACUUUUCCAGAUUCCGUCAUAUCUCCGAGACUCCAAGUAAACCUGUGUCCAAAUGUCUCAUAGGAUGCUCCCAGGAACGGCUUGAUCCUCGUUUUUGAAACUUCAAGUGCUGGCUAAGUGAAGCUGGUAAAGACCCAGGCUCUGGAGUCGGACUGCCUAGGUUCAAAUCCCAGCUUCACCAUUUGAUCUCAGGUAAUGUGCCAACAUUGUAACAAGGUUUAAAGGAUGGAUAUCUCACACAUGAGCAUGAAAAACUGUAAAGUAAGGCCAGAGAGAUUAAAUCCUUUGCUUGGGGGUAGGCAGCAGUGUUGGUUUUGGAGCCCACGUGUCCUGACUGAAUACUCUACAGCUGGUCAUUACUCCAGCUCCUUCUAGAGCAUCAGGGAGUCCUGACUCUGGAAUCCUGCAGUUCCCUCUGCCAGGGACUUGAGGAUGUUCUGGUGUUCACAUAUAGCACAAGCACUUCCCCCUCUUUUCUUCUGAUACCUGCAUGCACACCUGAGACGCCUACUCCAAGACUCACCCUGGGGAUGAAGUGGCCUGAUUUCAUUGUCAUAAAGGCAUCUCUGAUGGGAUUCUCCCAAGUCAGUAAUCAUCUGUGGGCUUUAUGAAUAACAAACAUCUUAGCCUUGGAUUAUGUAGCUAAUAAAAAUAAGAGGUAUAUUCU